GACGAACGCUGGCGGCGUGCCUAAUACAUGCAAGUUGAGCGCUGAAGGUUGGUACUUGUACCAACUGGAUGAGCAGCGAACGGGUGAGUAACGCGUGGGGAAUCUGCCUUUGAGCGGGGGACAACAUUUGGAAACGAAUGCUAAUACCGCAUAAAAACUUUAAACACAAGUUUUAAGUUUGAAAGAUGCAAUUGCAUCACUCAAAGAUGAUCCCGCGUUGUAUUAGCUAGUUGGUGAGGUAAAGGCUCACCAAGGCGAUGAUACAUAGCCGACCUGAGAGGGUGAUCGGCCACAUUGGGACUGAGACACGGCCCAAACUCCUACGGGAGGCAGCAGUAGGGAAUCUUCGGCAAUGGACGAAAGUCUGACCGAGCAACGCCGCGUGAGUGAAGAAGGUUGUCGGAUCGUAAAACUCUGUUGGUAGAGAAGAAAGUUGGUGAGAGUGGAAAGCUCAUCAAGUGACGGUAACUACCCAGAAAGGGACGGCUAACUACGUG
rnacentral:rRNA from 1 species